UUGUACCUUGCAAGUGGUUUCCAGGACCAGAAGAAGAUACUUGUUACUGGCCACCAGGAAAAGUCAACAUCAGCAAGGCAGUGAAGGAAGAAAUUGGUCCAAGCGCAGACUGGCCACAGUUUAAAGUUCGUGUCUUGGGAAAAGCAGGAAACGAUGCCCAUGCAAUAACAAAACUUUUGAAGUCUGAGGCAAACUCUGACCUGCACACAGAGUCAGAAUCUGGAGGAGGAAUGGGGAAAGGGAAGCGGAGAAGGAGGUAAGACUAUUUCUCAAUCAUGACACAUUCAUGUACAUUGGCGAAAAGUCCUUUUCUCAUAACGCAAUGAUACUUUUGCAUUCUUUCCGUGAGAAACAUUGUUUUACACUAGAGUAAGUCAAAGAUGUUAAGAUUUGCUUCUGUUUCUUUUAUGCUUUUCAAGGCCAAGAAACCUAUCAAGUUCUGAUGAAGAAUCAGGCUGUACUAGGCAUCCACCAUCCGAUGCUGGGCAUCCACAUCCUCCAGUUACAGAGAAUCUGCUGUCAAAGGCUACUCACUCACUCGGCACCCGUCCCUUUGUCCAGUCACUUCCACCUUCAAGACCAGACACUCCCUGCAGACCUGUGCAAGGUGUAAGCUCUGCAUUUACAGAGGGCAUGUUUGCACGCCUCCUAACCAUCUUGGAGGAAAUCAAAGAGACACAGAGGAUUCAUGGGAAGAUGAUACAGUCGCUCCUCACGCAGCGUGACACGACCGUAAUGGCAGUGGCAGCCGUCCCUGAGGGUUCUGUAUUCACCCUGAAGACUGUAUCAGAUGUUGAAGCAAUGGAACAGAAAUUGGCAGACCCUACUUUCCACAAAGAAGUGGUUGCGGUGGUGGCAGAUAUUGGAGGGACUACCUUGGAUGAAGCCACAAGAAGAAUGAUGGCCUUCCUUAUGGACCACCCUUUGUCAAGAGAGUACAACUUUGUUGGGUGCCAUGGAAAGCGAGAAUUUUGG